GAGGGUAUAGCUCACUGGCAGAGUCCAUGCUUAUCAUGCAUGAGGUCCUGGGUUCAAUCCCCAGGAUCUCUG
rnacentral:tRNA from 1 species